GGAUGUGAGGGCGAUCUGGCUGCGACAUCUGUCACCCAUUGAUCGCCAGGGUUGAUUCGGCUGAUCUGGCUGGCUAGGCGGGUGUCCCCUUCCUCCCUCACCGCUCCAUGUGCGUCCCUCCCGAAGCUGCACGCUCAGUCGAAGAGGACGACCUUCCCCGAUAGAGGAGGACCAUUCUUCGGUCAAGGGUAUACGAGUAGCUGCGCUCCCCUGUUAGAACCUCCAAACAAGCUCUCAAGGUCCAUUUGUAGGAGAACGUAGGGUAGUCAAGCUGCCAAGACUCCAGACACAUCCAAAUGAGGCGCUGCAUAUGGCAGUCUGCCUUUCUUA
rnacentral:snRNA from 1 species